rnacentral:rRNA from 1 species
CGUCUUCGGCGUCCGCAUUGUAAUCUCAAGAAGUGUUUUCCGCUUCGGACCAUGCCUAAGUCCCUUGGAAAAGGGCAUCAUAGAGGGUGAUAAUCCCGUACAUGGCAUGGAGCGCCCGAGGCUUUGUGAUACGCUUUCUAAGAGUCGAGUUGUUUGGGAAUGCAGCUCAAAAUGGGUGGUAAAUGCCAUCUAAGGCUAAAUAUUGGGGAGAGACCGAUAGCGAACAAGUACAGUGAUGGAAAGAUGAAAAGAACUUUGAAAAGAGAGUUAAACAGUACGUGAAAUUGCCAAAAGGGAAGGGUAGGAGGUCAGAGAUGCGUCUUGGGAUUCAGCCUUGCUUUUGCUUGGUGUUUUUCCCAAGUUGCAGGCCAACGUCGGUUUUGGGCACUGGAGAAGGGUGGAAGGAACGUGGCACCUCUCGGGGUGUGUUAUAGCCUUCUACUGGAUACAGCGACCGAGACCGAGGACAGCAGCGUACUCGCAAGAGCGGGCCUUCGGGCACCUUUACGCUUAGGGCGUUGGCAU